GCGGAGGUAGCCAAGUCUGGUCUAAGGCGCAGGACUUAAGAUCCUGUGGGUUAGUCCCUUCGUCGGUUCAAAUCCGGCCCUCCGCA
rnacentral:tRNA from 1 species